rnacentral:rRNA from 1 species
AACGUAGGUGGCAAACGUUAUCCGGAUUUACUGGGCGUAAAGAGUGCGUAGGUGGUUAUUUAAGUCAGAUGUAAAAUCUCCUGGCUCAACUGGGAGCGACCAUCUGAUACUGGAUAGCUGGAGUACAGCAGAGGAAAGUGGAAUUCCCGGUGUAGUGGUGGAAUGCGUAGAUAUCGGGAGGAACACCAGUGGCGAAAGCGGCUUUCUGGGCUGUUACUGACACUGUUGCACAAAAGCGUGGGGAGCAAACAGG